CAGUAGCCGCGGGAAUACGUAGGUGGCAAGCGUUGUCCGGAAUUAUUGGGCGUAAGGCGCGCGCAGGUGGUUAAUAAGUCUGAUGUGAAAGCCCACGGCUCAACCGUGGAGGGUCAUUGGAAACUGUUAAACUUGAGUGCAGGAGAGAAAAGUGGAAAUCCUAGUGUAGCGGUGAAAUGCGUAGAGAUUAGGAGGAACACCAGUGGCGAAGGCGGCUUUUUGGCCUGUAACUGACACUGAGGCGCGAAAGCGUGGGGAGCAAACAGGAUUAGAUACCCCUGUAGUCCCUGUCUCUUAUACA
rnacentral:rRNA from 1 species